CCUGUGCCUAUGAUGGUGUUAAAUAUACUCUGAUAUUUAAAUAUAUAUGAAAAGAAUUUUCAUCUGAGGCAUUUA